UUGAUAUUACCGGCAAUCACCAUGAUCUUAUUGAAUAUGUUGGUGCAAAUAUAGUAUGACGCCAUGCAUGUGAUUUUACCAUCGGUGCCACAAAUCUUUAUAG